rnacentral:rRNA from 1 species
UACGUAGGGUGCGAGCGUUGCCCGGAUUUAUUGGGCGUAAAGGGCGCGUAGGCGGCCACGCACGUCCGUUGUGAAAUCGCCCGGCUCAACUGGGCGGGGUCAGCGGAUACGGUGUGGCUCGAGCAAGCUAGGGGGCAAUGGAAUUCCGGGUGUAGCGGUGGAAUGCGUAGAGAUCCGGAAGAACACCGGUGGCGAAGGCGGCCCGCUGGGCAACUGCUGACACUGAGGCGCGACAGCGUGGGGAGCAAACAGG